rnacentral:misc_RNA from 1 species
GAUGAAGAACGUAGCGAAAUGCGAUAAGUAAUGUGAAUUGCAGAAUUCAGUGAAUCAUCGAAUCUUUGAACGCACAUUGCGCCCGCCAGCACUCUGGCGGGCAUGCCUGUUUGAGCGUCAUUUCAACCAUCAAGCCCCCAGGGGCUUGUGCUGGGGCCCUGCGGCUGCCCGCAGGCCCUGAAAACCAGUGGCGGGCUCGCUAGUCACACCGAGCGCAGUAGCACAUCUCGCUCAGGGCGUGCGGCGGGCUCCUGCCGUGAAACCCCCCACUGUAACCCCAAAGGUUGACCUCGGAUCAGGUAGGAAUACCCGCUGAACUUAAGCAUAUCAAUAAGCGGAGGA